AUAAUGCCAUGAAUUCAGUAGACACUUUACACCCCUCCCUUCCGCUGCCAGCGUUUGUUCACUUUUGGACCGGGUUGGUAAACAUGUUGAUUGUAUAUUUGAUCAAGUUCUGAGUAAAAUACUUAUCCUUAAAUCUAAUCUUUGAUUGGAAAUGUUAAUCACAGGCAGGUAUAUAUGUUUAGGUGUGAUUUUGGGUGUUUCUUUUCUUCAAACAAACUAAUCAACCAAACUAGAAUUGGAGUGCUUACUAUUACUAAUUGUUGUUCUUUUUUCCUUUUCUCCUGGUACCACCCCUGGAAGGUUGUCAUAAAGCUCAUAAUUAGAGAAUGUGAUGCUUAUGGAAACCUGUAAAUUUUGUUGUUGCAGUUAUAUGUGGAUACCUUGGUGAAGAAAGCAUAUGAUAACUGGAACCAUGUUGUCAUAUAUGAUGGCAUUUGAAGCUUAAACAGUUUGGCUGGUUGCACUGGAAAAAUCUGAAACCACUUGCUUAUUAGUCCGUCUACCCAUGUACCUAAAAUCAGUUGUUGAAAUCCUCAAUUUUCUCUUAUGGAUGAACUCGUGCACAAAGCUAAACUAUACAGGACAAAUUGGCACUUUUUGAGUUUUUGGAAGGAUUAUAUAUUUUUGUAUAGAUGUAUAUGGAAAAUAUUAGGUAGACUAGUAGUUAUAUUUUUGGAUACACUACUAGUUAUAUUUUUGGAUGGGUGUGUAUAGAAAAUAUUUGGUAGACUACUAGUUAUAUUUUUGGGUUGAUGUACAUGGAUAAAAAUUUAAAACAUAAUAACAAGUAAUUGUUAUGUGUUAAAUUUUUAUGCUAGAUGAAAUAUAUAGUUUCGAAUUAUUUGUGGAUGUAAACUUAUAAUAGUUGUUGACUUUAAUUAAACAGGUUCAGAAAUGGUUGAUAUA